rnacentral:miRNA from 1 species
GCCUUAGGGACUCAGUUCUGGA